rnacentral:rRNA from 1 species
UACGUAGGUGGCAAGCGUUAUCCGGAAUUAUUGGGCGUAAAGAGCGCGCAGGUGGUUGAUUAAGUCUGAUGUGAAAGCCCACGGCUUAACCGUGGAGGGUCAUUGGAAACUGGUCGACUUGAGUGCAGAAGAGGGAAGUGGAAUUCCAUGUGUAGCGGUGAAAUGCGUAGAGAUAUGGAGGAACACCAGUGGCGAAGGCGGCUCCCUGGUCUGUAACUGACACUGAGGCGCGAAAGCGUGGGUAGCAAACAGGAUUAGAUA